rnacentral:rRNA from 1 species
GCAUGCAGUCGAACGAACUCGACCUUCGGGUCACAUGAGUGAGUGGCGAACGGGUGAGUAACACGUGAGAAACCUGCCCCGAAGUCUGGAAUAACUCAGGGAAACUUGAGCUAAUACCGGAUGCCCUCUUCCAGUCGAAUGGCCGGAUGAGGAAAGAUUUAUCGCUUCGGGAGGGUCUCGCGGCCUAUCAGCUAGUUGGUGAGGUAACGGCUCACCAAGGCAUUGACGGGUAGCUAGUCUGAGAGGACGAAUAGCCACACUGGGACUGAGACACGGCCCAGACUCCUACGGGAGGCAGCAGCAGGGAAUCUUGCACAAUGGGCGAAAGCCUGAUGCAGCGACGCCGCGUGGGGGAUGAAGGCCCUAGGGUCGUAAACCCCUUUCAGUAGGGACGAAAAUGACGGUACCUACAGAAGAAGGUCCGGCCAACUACGUGCCAGCAGCCGCGGUAAGACGUAGGGACCGAGCGUUGUCCGGAUUUAUUGGGCGUAAAGAGCUCGUAGGCGGUUGCGUAAGUCGGAUGUGAAAACUUGAGGCUCAACCUCAAGACGCCAUCCGAUACUGCGCUGACUUGAAUCCAGUAGGGGAGUGUGGAAUUCCUGGUGUAGCGGUGAAAUGCGCAGAUAUCANGAGGANCNNNUAUGGCGAANGCAGCACUCUGGGCUGGUAUUGACGCUGANGANCGAAAGCAUGGGUAGCAAACANGAUUAGAUACCCUGGUAGUCCAUGCCGUAAACGGUGGGCACUANGUGUGGGGACUUUCAACGGUUUCCGUGCCGAANCUAACGCAUUAAGUGCCCCGNCUGGGGAGUA